CAGCCGCCACGGUAAUACGAAGGGGGCUAGCGUUGUUCGGAACUACUGGGCGUAAAGGGCGCGUAGGCGGCCAUUCAAGUUAGAUGUGAAAGCCCUGGGCUCAACCUAGGAAUUGCAUUUGAUACUGUUUGGCUUGAGUUCGGGAGAGGUGAGUGGAAUUCCCAGUGUAGAGGUGAAAUUCGUAGAUAUUGGGAAGAACACCAGUGGCGAAGGCGGCUCACUGGACCGACACUGACGCUGAGGCGCGAAAGCGUGGGGAGCAAACAGGAUUAGAUACCCCCGUAGUCCCUGUCUCUUAUAC
rnacentral:rRNA from 1 species